CCUACGGGAGGCAGCAGUGAGGAAUAUUGGUCAAUGGACGAGAGUCUGAACCAGCCAAGUAGCGUGAAGGAUGACUGCCCUAUGGGUUGUAAACUUCUUUUAUAAAGGAAUAAAACGAGGCACGUGUGCCUUUUUGCAUGUACUUUAUGAAUAAGGAUCGGCUAACUCCGUGCCAGCAGCCGCGGUAAUACGGAGGAUCCGAGCGUUAUCCGGAUUUAUUGGGUUUAAAGGGAGCGUAGAUGGGUUGUUAAGUCAGUUGUGAAAGUUUGCGGCUCAACCGUAAAAUUGCAAUUGAUACUGGCAGUCUUGAGUACAGUUGAGGUAGGCGGAAUUCGUGGUGUAGCGGUGGAAUGCUUAGAUAUCACGAAGAACCCCGAUUGCGAAGGCAGCUUACUAAACUGUGACUGACAUUGAUGCUCGAAAGUGUGGGUAUCAAACAGGAUUAGAUACCCUUGUAGUC
rnacentral:rRNA from 1 species